AAUGUAAUAAAUUACAACUUUCAACAACGGAUCUCUUGGUUCUGGCAUCGAUGAAGAACGCAGCGAAAUGCGAUACGUAGUGUGAAUUGCAGAAUUCAGUGAAUCAUCGAAUCUUUGAACGCACAUUGCGCCCUUUGGUAUUCCAAAGGGCAUG
rnacentral:rRNA from 1 species